rnacentral:rRNA from 1 species
UACAGAGGGUGCGAGCGUUAAUCGGAAUUACUGGGCGUAAAGCGUGCGCAGGCGGUCUGCUAAGACAGGUGUGAAAUCCCCGGGCUUAACCUGGGAACUGCGCUUGUUACUGGCAGGCUGGAGUGUGGCAGAGGGGGGUGGAAUUCCACGUGUAGCAGUGAAAUGCGUAGAGAUGUGGAGGAACACCGAUGGCGAAGGCAGCCCCCUGGGCUAACACUGACGCUCAUGCACGAAAGCGUGGGGAGCAAACAGG